UCGGCGAACGACAGGAAUCUCGCGAAAGAUGUGUCAUCGGAGUCAGAGCGAUCGUGCUCAGCUGAUACCCGGAGGGAGUUUCACCCGCAGCCAGCUCGGUGUCUCAGUCUCGUAGAGUUCAAUAUUUCCACGAAAAAUUCCUUCAGACAAGAGCAACGAUCAGAAGCAAAAUGGCGCGAAAUUACGCGCAAACGAAUAAUUAUAUUACACGCGACAUGGAGUGGCACAAAUUACAAAAAGCUACGUACACAUAGUUUCACGAAUCUCACAAAAAUAAUUGAAUAAUAAAUGGAGACGAAAUUUUCCAUAUUAUAUGGUCAUCUUUUUAUUAAGAUACACAAAUGUUUUCUUUCUAUCUUAAACCUAAACUUUAGUAGCAAAAAAAAGAAUAAGAACGUCUUCGUAAAUACCACAUUAUGAUUCAAUGAAAUAAAACUGCUCUUUGUGAAAGAAAACAUGAUAACAGCAGACUGAAAUUGUCAAAUAAAAGAGAUAUAGUCAAAUAUAAUCAAAUAUAACGAAAUGUUACUUGUGACUACUGUCUACUGCUUAAAAUAAUAGUCAAAUCAUAUAACGACCAAAAGUGGCCUUGCUCUGCAACAAGAUCGCAUGUAUAAAGCUGUAUGUAAAUUAAAAUUUGUACGAAGAC